rfam:Acidobacteria bacterium 13_1_20CM_3_53_8 13_1_20cm_3_scaffold_2, whole genome shotgun sequence.
CCCAGCCCUCACGGGCUGGGCUUUAUGCUGCCGCCCUCUAUCGAGGGCU